CAGAAGAAAGAGAGAUAGAAGCACCCCCAACCAAUAUUCAUUUUUCGUCUUCGACACUUCGUCAAAAUAUAGCAAAACUUCUUCUCAUCCCUCCUGUCUCACUCUCGGAGUCUCGUCUUCUCUUCAUUCUCUUCUCUCCCAGAAAUCUUCAACAUCGCGCUUUGGGAAUUUCUCUCUCUCCAGAGUCCAGUCCUCAUUGUCCCUAAUUUCACUUCUCUCUCUACAAAUCAACCCUAAAUCUUCCAUCUCUAAACCCUCAAUGGAUCCAACACCUUCUUCUACCAAAUCCAAUCACAGCCACCAAAACCUAACCAAAACCCCAUAAGCCAGCCAUCAACUCCAGUUCUUAAAAGCCUACCCGUCACCAAACCCCAAGUCAACCCUAAAAGAAUCUCCGUCGGAGCACCCGAACGAAUUCUUCGCUCGAAUCCAAGACUAGAAGCUAAAGGAGAAGGCCUUCACGUUCCUCUUGGCCCCAAUUGAUGCCUCUAGAGAGAGCCUCCUCAUGGCUCAUCGAUUACUCAGUACGUCUCUUUCUCGAAAUGGAUUAAUUUGGUUGUUUGUUUUGACAGUGGAUGGUACGAAUCAGUGUUGUUAUCAGGUAUUGCGCUGUGGAAGACCGGAGUUCAUUCGUUGCUUUUCAAGCCAAUACCAGUGUUGUUAUCAGUCGGGAACUUUCCAGGAAUCGUAAUUGCAGAGGAGCCAGAGUGGAAAGAUAGCAUUCGAGGUUCAAUUGGUGUUGUAAAUUUGGCUGGAAUGCCCAUUAGUACAAGAUGGACUUCUGUGGUCUACUACCUUUACCUUUCUUUUGGUUAUCCUACCUAUCUUUUUAUAGUAAGUAGUGACAAUAUGAAAAGAAGUUCUCGAUAACUCUUGUUUUGUUACUUUAUAGUAAGCAUACAGCAAGUACUCAUUACAGAUAUAGAGAUGGUAAAAGAAAUUAGCCUGCGUACAUCUUUGAGCUUGGGGAUUUCCUUUUAUCUAUCUAAGGACCGCUAGCCACUAUUCGACCAAGGCAUUCUAGCUUCAAAUGGUAUGGUAGGCCUCAUGUGAGCUGUACCCGUCCCAAGCCUCCCAGAAAGGUCCCCAAGUCACCUCAUAAGGUUGGAAGUAGUUCUUUUGUUCAUAGUGUACCUUGCUUUUGGAUAUGAUGAUGGCAGUGCUCUAUCAUACAUUCUUCUUACAAUGACCAGUUGGUUCAUGGCACUUUCUUGGCUUUUUGCUCCCUAUUUGUUCAACCCAUGCCCAUCUGGGUUUGAGUGGCAGAAGUAAGUGUCUUAAGAGGAUUCCUAUCAUUUUAAGGGUUUCAAAAGAAUCCCAUUUUGGGCAGUUUGGUAAUCAAAUCUGGGAGUUAACACUGAGUACUAAUGGAAUUGAUAUAUUUGUCUUAAGCUGAAAGAUUGGUGGGCAUUUGGGUGCAGUUUGCUUAGUCUACGUUACGUGAAAUUAAAAGAACUUUUUGUUUCUGGGAAGCGCAAAUGUUUCCAAAGAUUGAUUGGAAUACUAUUGCAGUUGAGAUUAUUGAUUUGCUGGGUAUUUGAAAACAUUGAGAUAAAGUCAUUUAUAUGAUAUAUUGAAAGCUUGGAUGAAGUGAAGAAGAGGUUCAAGGAAGAGUAGCUGUUCAGCCUUUAGUGAUAUUGUUCUCAAUGUUGUUCUUGUGUUUUAAUGUAUGAAUGAUUGAGAAAUACUAUGUUUAUGGUACAUUUGAUGCUUUAAUGUAUGGAUUGGAGUACUUGAAUUGAUGAAUUGCAUUCAGAUUUCUUUCUAA